rnacentral:rRNA from 1 species
CACGCAGGCGGUUUUACGCGUUUCGCGUGACAGCGGGCGGCUUACCUGCCCGAGUAUGCGAAAGACGGUAGGACUUGAGGGCCAGAGAGGGACACGGAAUUCCGGGUGGAGUGGUGAAAUGCGUAGAGAUCCGGAGGAACACCGAGGGCGAAGGCAGUGUCCUGGCUGGUGACUGACGCUGAGGUGCGAAAGCCAGGGGAGCGAACGGGAUUAGAUACCCCGGUAGUCCUGGCCGUAAACGAUGACCACCAGGUGUGGGAGGUAUCGACCCCUUCUGUGCCGGAGGAAACCCACUAAGUGGUCCGCCUGGGGAGUACGGUCGCAAGGAUUAAA